AUACGAAGGUCCCAAGCGUUAUUCGGAAUCACUGGGCGUAAAGAGUAUGUAGGCGGUUUGGUAAGUCAGGUGUGAAAUCCCGAAGCUCAACUUCGGAACUGCAUCCGAUACUGCUAGACUUGAGUAAUGGAGAGGCAGGUGGAAUUCUCGGUAUAGCAGUGAAAUGCGUGGAUAUCGAGAGGAAGACCAAUGGCGAAGGCAGCCUGCUGGACAUUUACUGACGCUGAGAUACGAAGGCUAGGGUAGCGAAAGGGAUUAGAAACCCGGGUAGUCC
rnacentral:rRNA from 1 species